GCGCAAGUGGCGGAAUGGUAGACGCGCUAGGUUGAGGGCCUAGUGGGAGAUAAUCCCGUGGAAGUUCGAGUCUUCUCUUGCGCA
rnacentral:tRNA from 1 species